AAUAUUUAUUACAAAUCGAAAAAAUUAAAGAGGCUAACAUUCGCGGGCGAACGUAAAAUGUCUCCGCUACGCAAUCCUAACAUGGCCAAUUUUGACGCCAGAAAAAUCGUGAAAAACACAGAAAAAUCGAAGCCUGUCUAUACCACUGCUUGGGAC